CUAAUACAGUUUUCCAGGCAGACACAUUCCCAGGCUUCUGUCAGUAAGAAGGAGGGGAAAGAUGGAGUUGGGAGGCAGCCAGCAGGCACUGUCACCUGUACCUCCCUCACAGGACUGUUGCAAGGAUGGCAUGAAGUAAGUCUGCAAAGUGCCCACCUGCCGUCCACCAGCAUCCAGGAAGUGCCUGUGCGAAGAGAGACCUUAAAGGGUGGCCUUGUAAUCCUGGAGCUAAACGUGCACGCACAAAGGCCCCUGGUCCCGCUGUGUCUGUGCGGGACCCAGCCUGCAGCGGGAGUCCCUGGAAACAGCUUCCCUCUCUGCACAUGGCUCUGUGUGUGCCUGGCUCGCAGUCUUGCUGGCGAUCGUGUGUUGGCACUGACCCACGAAUAUUUGCCUCUCAUGUCUUUGAGAGAGAAGAGUCGGCCUCGCCUGGAGGGUAGCCGGGGUGUGCAUGGACGGCUGUCUCGGGCUGGAUGCCGCACUCCAGGUCGGGGAAAAUGUGGUGGGCUCACCUUUGUUCAUGGGGUGGGUCACAGGAUUCACUGUGUGAAGCUGGAGGGAAGCCCAGGAAACUGGAGAAGUUUCUUGGGGAGGGUACCAGCUUGGGGACUCCAGGAGGGAACAGGAAGACACUGCCUGUGGUUACUGAAGGCAGCGAUGCGCAGGAGGUAGUGGCAAGAGCGGGCUGUUUGCUCAUCAGGUGAGGGGCCUGCGGAGUGAGGUUAGUGAUGGGCCAGGCCUGGGCCUGAGUAGUGCAUCUUUGCAGUUUUAUCCUUAUGCAUUUAGAAGAAAAUGUGUUGAUUUUUUUUUUUUUCCUGUCACAUGCUCAGCACUCUAAGAGGUUAUUCAUGCCAGGAGGAGCUGCUGGUGUUUUAGCAAACUAGCACGUCUCACCUGAAGCUUGUAAAGCGCUAGACGGAAUCGUAACUGUGAUAAUAAGGGCAGGCACUGAUGCGGCUGCAAGGUGAGCCAGGGAUCCUUCCAGGUGCUUUGCGUGUGUUUAAGAGCAGAUGGGAGGUCCAGAGGCUGGGCUGGGGGGUGGCCAGCAAGCCUUGCCCGUGGGCUCCCCUAGCAUUAGUUAUAUGAAUGAGUUUUACUCCACAAACGUGGCCUUUUAAAAUGUCACAAUCCUUACAAAAGUUUUUAUGGUAAAAAGCCCUUGCAUUAUUGAAAUAUACCUGACACGUAACAUUGUGGAAAAUUCAGGUGGCCGCCCUGUUGAUUUGAUACACUUACAUGGCAAAACGAUUCCCGCCAUGGGGGGCGCUAACACCUGCAGCUCGUCACAUGGUUACCAUUUCUUCUUUGGGGUGAGACAUUUACUCUCAGCAACUUUCAGUGUACAAUACAGUGUGAUUAACUAGACUCCCCCUGCUGUGUAUUUGAUUCCCAGAACUUCAUCUUAUACCUGAUAGCAUGACCCUUGACCAGCGACUCAUUUUCCCACCUCCCAGCCCCUGCUAACCACGUCUCU
rnacentral:lncRNA from 9 species